rnacentral:antisense_RNA from 1 species
AUUUUGACUGUGAUGAUGUUUCUUAAGACACACAGAGCUGCACGCCAGAGGGGUGAAUUUUUACUGGGUCUGCAGGUAAGCAGCUGCACAGACAGAUGUGUGGGAUGGUCUCACUUUAAGUCUGCACUGAGACCUCUCUUCUACUCUAGACAGACUGGAAGGGCUGCGCAGAAAGAAGCAGGGUGGCCCCCAGCUGUGGGCUCUGUUCCCAGAAGUCCCAGCGGAGGACCCAGGGCUCAAAGGGUUGGGUCAGAUGAAAGUCAGAAUGGGAUGUGUUAGGGAAGGCUGGACAAGAGGGGCCCGGUAUCAGGAGCCCACAUCUAGAGAAGACAGGUGCUUGACUCAUCCCACCCUGCCCACCACACCCACCUCUCCUGGCACUGCUGCUGGCGCUGUGCGGCACCCAGACUCCAGACAGACGGAGGCUGCCACCACCGCUGACGUGGUCUGGAGCCAACAGCAUGGCCCCCCGCCUUCCUCUGAGACGUGCACUGACGCCUGCAUUCCAGGCAUUGCUGUUCUUCCCAUUGUCUCCCCAGUCAUCCAGCCAGGGGCCAGCACAGACACCUCCCGCAUCCACCCGACUGAGACUUGGGAGAAGGCUGAUCUACCCAGAGGGCACAGGUCGCAGUGCAUCCUGAGUGCUCUCCUGGCCGAGUGGCCUGUCCCACGGGGGAGCAUCCUCCAUGCCGCCCUUCAGUCCGAAUGUGGGUGGUUCGAGACUGGCCCACCUUGGGGGGCUCAGGGCACAGUGGAAGAGGAACACAGCUGCGGGAAGUGCUCGUACCUGGCAGGCGCGCGGCGGUGGUCAGGGGCCCGGACAGAGCCAUGCCGAUCUCGGUCAUGCCAUACCGCUCCAGCAGGGUGUGGCCCGUGAUGUUCUUCCACUUCUCCAGCACUGGGAGGGGCAGGGCAGCUGAGCCUGAGACCAUCAGCCUACGCGGCACAACCAAAGGCAGGUUUAGCCCCUUGGGACGUGGCUGUCGCGUGCAAAGGCGGCAGGUUUAGCCCCUCAGGACGCGGCCCUUGCUUGCAAAAGUGGCAGCUCCUUCACGAGUGCAGGAGCCCCAGGCCGUGGGUACAGCACCGCUGUGCGACACCCGGGACCAACGCUGCAGUCUGUGCUACGGCAUGACUUUGUUUUUUGAAAACGAUCUGUUGGGUAUAUUUUAGAAAGAAGCAGGUCCAACAGCUAAUGAGGGUAAACAAUGUGCUUAGGGUCCGCGGUGUCCCCUGCAAAGUUCCCGCGCUGUUCACAACCACGCUCAAGAACAGCAGUGACCGUGCAGCUGCCGACCACGGAGCUGAUCACGGGUGAACAGCCACGGCGCUGCAGGCUGCGGCCAGGCACAUCCGGGGACUACAGCCGGCUCAGCUUGCAGGCUCUGCAGCAGAAUGCGGACAUGGGUGAAUGGCCGCGGCACCCAAGUGGUGGGGCCGGGCACACCCAAGGGGCUCAGAACCACCCGCAGAACUACAGCCAUCUUGGCUCACAGGGUCAGCUCAGGCUUGGCAGGAGAACACGGGCCCUGAGAACUCCGAGUCCCCGCGCUCUCACACAGCAUUUCCCGCAGCCUCACGGGCAGUAGGGAAGGCGCUUUUGUUUGCGGUUUGAGCGGAGUGGUCCCUGCUGCUGCCCCUGCUUUACGAGGAGGCACCACUGACAAGACCCCCGCUGGGAGAUCCAGAUGGCCGAGGUCUCAUUGCCUCUGUCACCCCAGAAAUCACCUGAUCCUCUCCUUCACUGACCUCGUUCUUGCCCUCGGUUCCUUAGAUUUGGUAAAACGUUGUGCUCACCCUGCUCAGCUCGGGGCCUGCCCAGCCCCAGGGUAUCCCAGCAGUAGCAGCAGCAAAACCAUGGGCUCCGGUGGCCUCACAGAAAAGGGGCAAGGGAACAGCAAAGAGAGCGAAGCGGUUCAGACAUGUGCCUUGGACAACCUGGAAUUCUCUCCAGGAACAAAGGUGCCGCUUCCCUGUGCACUUCCUGGGGACUGGGAGGAGCGCUCGGCAGCCACAGACACACACAUCCCACUGGAAACUGGAUGGCAGUGGAGCCUUCAGUUCCUGCAGUGCACCCUCCACGCCACCCCUCCCUCUCGC